UACGAAGGGUGCAAGCGUUAAUCGGAAUUACUGGGCGUAAAGCGCGCGUAGGUGGUUAGGUAAGCGAGAUGUGAAAGCCCCGGGCUUAACCUGGGAACGGCAUUUCGAACUGUCUGGCUAGAGUGUGGUAGAGGGUAGUGGAAUUUCCUGUGUAGCGGUGAAAUGCGUAGAUAUAGGAAGGAACACCAGUGGCGAAGGCGGCUACCUGGACCAACACUGACGCUGAGGUGCGAAAGCGUGGGGAGCAAACAGG
rnacentral:rRNA from 1 species